rnacentral:rRNA from 1 species
ACUCCUACGGGAGGCAGCAGUGGGGAAUUGUUCGCAAUGGGCGCAAGCCUGACGACGCAACGCCGCGUGGAGGAUGAAGAUCUUCGGGUCGUAAACUCCUUUCGAUCGAGACGAAUGGCCUUCGGGUGAACAAUCCGGAGGAAUGACGGUACCGAGAGAAGAAGCCCCGGCUAACUCCGUGCCAGCAGCCGCGGUAAUACGGGGGGGGCAAGCGUUGUUCGGAAUUACUGGGCGUAAAGGGCUCGUAGGCGGCCAACUAAGUCAGACGUGAAAUCCCUCGGCUUAACCGGGGAACUGCGUCUGAUACUGGAUGGCUUGAGUUUGGGAGAGGGAUGCGGAAUUCCAGGUGUAGCGGUGAAAUGCGUAGAUAUCUGGAGGAACACCGGUGGCGAAGGCGGCAUCCUGGACCAACACUGACGCUGAGGAGCGAAAGCCAGGGGAGCAAACGGGAUUAGAUACCCCGGUAGUCCUGGCCCUAAACGAUGAAUGCUUGGUGUGGCGGGUAUCGAUCCCUGCCGUGCCGAAGCUAACGCAUUAAGCAUUCCGCCUGGGGAGUACGGUCGCAAGGCUGAAACUUAAAGGAAUUGACGG